UUCUGCUAUUUAGAAAAUUCCGUUAUUAUAUCAAAUCAUCCAUUGUAUGGCGCAUGUUAUAUCAUCUAAUAUCUGAUCACGUGUUUUGGUUGGGUAUGAACACGUAUAUAAACAUACAGUAUAAUCAGACAAACGCGACAGAUGCAAACAAUUUAUUUUCUAGUCUACCAUUUUGGACCGCUAUGGAAAGUGCCCUAAAUGUAACAAAUAACACAAUAGGCUUUAAUAUGAAAGAUAUAAUCGAUGUUUGGUCAACGGAAGGAUAUUAUCCUGUAUUAUAUGUAACACAAGAUUUUUCCAUUAACACAUUAAUAUAUUAUAUAUCAUAUAUUAUACAUCAUUAAUUUCAAUCGUUACUUGCUGACAUCACUUGUUGACAUGAAACAAUACCGAAUAUAUGUAACGUAUACGAUGAAAUCAGUUAUAAACUUUGCGACAUCUAAUGUCAAAAAUUACUGUUGGCUAUCUUCACUAACACCACACUACUCUAUGCUUUGGAUUGAUAAUAAUGAUUGGAUUAUUGUCAAUUUACAACAAGCUGAUAAAUAUUAAACAGUAACUUUAUUUUCUGUAACUUAUGUUCUAUUAUUCGAAAUUUGACCACCGAUAUUUAUAUAUAUUAUGUAAGAUUAAUAAUAAUAUAUUAAUAUAUUGUAUGUAAUCACAAUUACACUUAACGUUUCGGCCAAUGUUGAUCCGCAGCUUACAUCUUUGAAAUUAAUUUAUUACUAAUUUAUAAUAACUUUGCAAUUA